rnacentral:rRNA from 1 species
CCUACGGGAGGCAGCAGUGAGGAAUAUUGGUCAAUGGACGCAAGUCUGAACCAGCCAUGUAGCGUGCAGGAAGACGGCUCUACGAGUUGUAAACUGCUUUUGUACGAGGAUAAACUCAGAUACGUGUACCUGUUUGAAAGUAUUGUACGAAUAAGGAUCGGCUAACUCCGUGCCAGCAGCCGCGGUAAUACGGAGGAUUCAAGCGUUAUCCGGAUUUAUUGGGUUUAAAGGGAGCGUAGGUGGUCGGAUAAGUUAGAUGUGAAAGUCCGAGGCUCAACCGUGGAAUUGCCUCUGAUACUGGUAGGCUAGAGAACAGUUGCGGUAGGCGGAAUGUAUGGUGUAGCGGUGAAAUGCGUAGAGAUCACAAAGAACACCGAUUGCGAAGGCAGCUUACCAAGCUACUUCUGACGUUGAGGCACGAAAGCGUGGGGAUCAAACAGGAUUAGAUACCCGAGUAGUC